rnacentral:rRNA from 1 species
AACGAACGCUGGCGGCAUGCCUAACACAUGCAAGUCGAACGAGACCUUCGGGUCUAGUGGCGCACGGGUGCGUCACGCGUGGGAACCUGCCCUUAGGUUCGGAAUAACUCCCCGACAGGGGUGCUAAUACCGGAUAAUGUCUUCGGACCAAAGAUUUAUCGCCCUUGGAUGGGCCCGCGUUGGAUUAGCUAGUUGGUAGGGUAAAAGCCUACCAAGGCGACGAUGCAUAGCUGGUCUGAGAGGAUGGUCAGCCACACUGGGACUGAGACACGGCCCAGACUCCUACGGGAGGCAGCAGUGGGGAAUAUUGGACAAUGGGCGAAAGCCUGAUCCAGCAAUGCCGCGUGAGUGAUGAAGGCCUUAGGGUUGUAAAGCUCUUUUACCCGGGAUGAUAAUGACAGUACCGGGAGAAUAAGCGCCGGCUAACUCCGUG